UGAGGCAGGAGAAUUGCUUGAACCCAUGAGGUGGAGGUUGCAGUGAGCCGAGAUCGUGCCACUGUACUCCAACCUGGGCGACAGAGCGAGACUCCGUCUCA
rnacentral:miRNA from 1 species